GGACUGGAGUCCCAUGAGCUUGGAAUCUCCAAUGGCUCAACUGGGCAAGACAAUUGGUGUCUUUAAAUUCUGUCAGGGCCUUGUGGACAUAUUUUUCAGCCAGGGGUGUAGUGUUAAAUUUGGAUCGACUGACCACCCACUUUUAUUCAUGCUCAUGAUAAAGUCAGAAUCAAAUGGAUCACGUUGCGUGUUUUAUAUGCGCUGUGUCCCAAGUCUUGAGUGACCCAUGAAGAGAUGAGUUCUUCUUUAGUGCGCUCAUGGCCAUCUCGGAUCCUUAUUCCUUACUCAAGGAAAGCAUUGAUUUUGAAUGCUGGGCUCAAGGUUUUGAUGCUUUUCUGUCUAUUGAUAAAAUGGAAGGAAUCAUUUCACAUGCAACUGUUUAAAUUGGUUGUGUCAUGCAAGGGUUUUGAGAACUGUCUGGACUAAAGAAAUAGUUUGAUUGCCUUGUCAGCAAGAGAGGUGCCUGCAGCCUAGGCGGCAACCAUGCUAUCUUGCACAGACACAAAAAGCCUUUUGGAAGGUUGUGUCUUUGUUGAAGAUGAUGUUUAGCAUUUUAGCAUUCAAGACUCUUCAGACACGGAUUGCGAGAACGCCUGGCCUGAGAAAUUGACACCCGAGUGAAUGGAGGCGAAUGCACCUGCUUAAGUUGAGGAAGGCAGAUCACCAAAGGCGGCAGGAGUCCUUUGGUGAGGAUGGGAGGUCGGGAGAAGCUAAGAAGAAGGAGAGAAGAGACUCUACAGUGGGAGAACCACUUUGGGAAGAGCAGGAUCAGCCCCUUUAUCAUUUCGGUUUGCCUCUUCUGCUGCACCUUCUUCAGUUCGACAGUAUCGCUUUUUUGGUAAUCUGGCGACCGGAACGAUACACUUUACUUCUGAGGAACAGCUACAACUGGAAACAAGGUCAGCUUCAUGUUGUUGUUGUUGUUGUUAUAGCCCAGUAAGCUUCCAGACCACCUUGGGUUUAUUCUCUCUUUUUGACAGUUAAAGCACCACAUUUUCAUUGAUGCCAGGAGAUGUUGAACAGUAGGGCACACAUCCUGGGGUGCCUCUGUUAUGGCAGAAGAGAUAUUCCCAGACUGAUUGGGCAAGGUUCGGACCACAAUGUGUGUCUGGACAUUUAAAUUUGCAUUCUGAUUGGGCAAGACCUCUAGGGUUUUUAAAUUCUGUCUUGAUCGAAUUGGGCAAGAUCUCUAGGAUUUUUAAAUUGUAUCUGGAAUUGGGCAAGAUCAAGGCCUGUGUGGGCCUCGAUUUUUAAAUUGCAUCCCCCAGCUUGACCUUUACAAUUGUAUUCUGAUUGGGCAAGACCUCUAGGGUUUUUAAAUUCUGUAUGGAAUUGGGCAAGAUCAGGGCCUGUGUGGGCCUCGAUUUUUAAAUUGCAUCCCCCAGCUUGACCUUUACAAUUGUAUUCUGAUUGGGCAAGACCUCUAGGGUUUUUAAAUUCUGUAUGGAAUUGGGCAAGAUCAGGGCCUGUGUGGGCCUCGAUUUUUAAAUUGCUUCCCCCAGCUUGACUGAGCACACAAUCUCUAGGUUCCCUUAGAGUGAAUUGGGCAAGAUACCAUUUUUUAAAAAUUCCAUGUUUGGGCAGCUUUAAGCCAGUGGACUGGAGUCCCAUGAGCUUGGAAUCUCCAAUGGCUCAACUGGGCAAGACAAUUGGUGUCUUUAAAUUCUGUCAGGGCCUUGUGGACAUAUUUUUCAGCCAGGGGUGUAGUGUUAAAUUUGGAUCGACUGACCACCCACUUUUAUUCAUGCUCAUGAUAAAGUCAGAAUCAAAUGGAUCACGUUGCGUGUUUUAUAUGCGCUGUGUCCCAAGUCUUGAGUGACCCAUGAAGAGAUGAGUUCUUGUUUAGUGCGCUCAUGGCCAUCUCGGAUCCUUAUUCCUUACUCAAGGAAAGCAUUGAUUUUGAAUGCUGGGCUCAAGGUUUUGAUGCUUUUCUGUCUAUUGAUAAACUGGAAGGAAUCAUUUCACAUGCAAAUGUUUAAAUUGGUUGUGUCAUGCAAGGGUUUUGAGAACUGUCUGGACUAAAGAAAUAGUUUGAUUGCCUUGUCAGCAAGAGAGGUGCCUGCAGCCUAGGCGGCAACCAUGCUAUCUUGCACAGACACAGAAAGCCUUUUGGAAGGUUGUGUCUUUGUUGAAGAUGAUGUUUAGCAUUUUAGCAUUCAAGACUCUUCAGACACGGAUUGCGAGAACGCCUGGCCUGAGAAAUUGACACCCGAGUGAAUGGAGGCGAAUGCACCUGCUUAAGUUGAGGAAGGCAGAUCACCAAAGGCGGCAGGAGUCCUUUGGUGAGGAUGGGAGGUCGGGAGAAGCUAAGAAGAAGGAGAGAAGAGACUCUACAGUGGGAGAACCACUUUGGGAAGAGCAGGAUCAGCCCCUUUAUCAUUUUGGUUUCCCUCUUCUGCUGCACCUUCUUCAGUUCGACAGUAUCGCUUUUUUGGUAAUCUGGCGACCGGAACGAUACACUUUACUUCUGAGGAACAGCUACAACUGGAAACAAGGUCAGCUUCAUGUUGUUGUUGUUGUUGUUGUUAUAGCCCAGUAAGCUUCCAGACCACCUUGGGUUUAUUCUCUCUUUUUGACAGUUAAAGCACCACAUUUUCAUUGACGCCAGGAGAUGUUGAACAGUAGGGCACACAUCCUGGGGUGCCUCUGUUAUGGCAGAAGAGAUAUUCCCAGACUGAUUGGGCAAGGUUCGGACCACAAUGUGUGUCUGGACAUUUAAAUUUGCAUUCUGAUUGGGCAAGACCUCUAGGGUUUUUAAAUUCUGUCUUGAUCGAAUUGGGCAAGAUCUCUAGGAUUUUUAAAUUGUUUCUGGAAUUGGGCAAGAUCAAGGCCUGUGUGGGCCUCGAUUUUUAAAUUGCAUCCCCCAGCUUGACCUUUACAAUUGUAUUCUGAUUGGGCAAGACCUCUAGGGUUUUUAAAUUCUGUAUGGAAUUGGGCAAGAUCAGGGCCUGUGUGGGCCUCGAUUUUUAAAUUGCUUCCCCCAGCUUGACUGAGCACACAAUCUCUAGGUUCCCUUAGAGUGAAUUGGGCAAGAUACCAUUUUUUUGAAAUUCCAUGUUUGGGCAGCUUUAAGCCAGUGGACUGGAGUCCCAUGAGCUUGGAAUCUCCAAUGGCUCAACUGGGCAAGACAAUUGGUGUCUUUAAAUUCUGUCAGGGCCUUGUGGACAUAUUUUUCAGCCAGGGGUGUAGUGUUAAAUUUGGAUCGACUGACCACCCACUUUUAUUCAUGCUCAUGAUAAAGUCAGAAUCAAAUGGAUCACGUUGCGUGUUUUAUAUGCGCUGUGUCCCAAGUCUUGAGUGACCCAUGAAGAGAUGAGUUCUUGUUUAGUGCGCUCAUGGCCAUCUCGGAUCCUUAUUCCUUACUCAAGGAAAGCAUUGAUUUUGAAUGCUGGGCUCAAGGUUUUGAUGCUUUUCUGUCUAUUGAUAAAAUGGAAGGAAUCAUUUCACAUGCAACUGUUUAAAUUGGUUGUGUCAUGCAAGGGUUUUGAGAACUGUCUGGACUAAAGAAAUAGUUUGAUUGCCUUGUCAGCAAGAGAGGUGCCUGCAGCCUAGGCGGCAACCAUGCUAUCUUGCACAGACACAAAAAGCCUUUUGGAAGGUUGUGUCUUUGUUGAAGAUGAUGUUUAGCAUUUUAGCAUUCAAGACUCUUCAGACACGGAUUGCGAGAACGCCUGGCCUGAGAAAUUGACACCCGAGUGAAUGGAGGCGAAUGCACCUGCUUAAGUUGAGGAAGGCAGAUCACCAAAGGCGGCAGGAGUCCUUUGGUGAGGAUGGGAGGUCGGGAGAAGCUAAGAAGAAGGAGAGAAGAGACUCUACAGUGGGAGAACCACUUUGGGAAGAGCAGGAUCAGCCCCUUUAUCAUUUCGGUUUGCCUCUUCUGCUGCACCUUCUUCAGUUCGACAGUAUCGCUUUUUUGGUAAUCUGGCGACCGGAACGAUACACUUUACUUCUGAGGAACAGCUACAACUGGAAACAAGGUCAGCUUCAUGUUGUUGUUGUUGUUGUUGUUGUUAUAGCCCAGUAAGCUUCCAGACCACCUUGGGUUUAUUCUCUCUUUUUGACAGUUAAAGCACCACAUUUUCAUUGACGCCAGGAGAUGUUGAACAGUAGGGCACACAUCCUGGGGUGCCUCUGUUAUGGCAGAAGAGAUAUUCCCAGACUGAUUGGGCAAGGUUCGGACCACAAUGUGUGUCUGGACAUUUAAAUUUGCAUUCUGAUUGGGCAAGACCUCUAGGGUUUUUAAAUUCUGUCUUGAUCGAAUUGGGCAAGAUCUCUAGGAUUUUUAAAUUGUUUCUGGAAUUGGGCAAGAUCAAGGCCUGUGUGGGCCUCGAUUUUUAAAUUGCAUCCCCCAGCUUGACCUUUACAAUUGUAUUCUGAUUGGGCAAGACCUCUAGGGUUUUUAAAUUCUGUAUGGAAUUGGGCAAGAUCAGGGCCUGUGUGGGCCUCGAUUUUUAAAUUGCUUCCCCCAGCUUGACUGAGCACACAAUCUCUAGGUUCCCUUAGAGUGAAUUGGGCAAGAUACCAUUUUUUUGAAAUUCCAUGUUUGGGCAGCUUUAAGCCAGUGGACUGGAGUCCCAUGAGCUUGGAAUCUCCAAUGGCUCAACUGGGCAAGACAAUUGGUGUCUUUAAAUUCUGUCAGGGCCUUGUGGACAUAUUUUUCAGCCAGGGGUGUAGUGUUAAAUUUGGAUCGACUGACAACCCACUUUUAUUCAUGCUCAUGAUAAAGUCAGAAUCAAAUGGAUCACGUUGCGUGUUUUAUAUGCGCUGUGUCCCAAGUCUUGAGUGACCCAUGAAGAGAUGAGUUCUUGUUUAGUGCGCUCAUGGCCAUCUCGGAUCCUUAUUCCUUACUCAAGGAAAGCAUUGAUUUUGAAUGCUGGGCUCAAGGUUUUGAUGCUUUUCUGUCUAUUGAUAAAAUGGAAGGAAUCAUUUCACAUGCAACUGUUUAAAUUGGUUGUGUCAUGCAAGGGUUUUGAGAACUGUCUGGACUAAAGAAAUAGUUUGAUUGCCUUGUCAGCAAGAGAGGUGCCUGCAGCCUAGGCGGCAACCAUGCUAUCUUGCACAGACACAAAAAGCCUUUUGGAAGGUUGUGUCUUUGUUGAAGAUGAUGUUUAGCAUUUUAGCAUUCAAGACUCUUCAGACACGGAUUGCGAGAACGCCUGGCCUGAGAAAUUGACACCCGAGUGAAUGGAGGCGAAUGCACCUGCUUAAGUUGAGGAAGGCAGAUCACCAAAGGCGGCAGGAGUCCUUUGGUGAGGAUGGGAGGUCGGGAGAAGCUAAGAAGAAGGAGAGAAGAGACUCUACAGUGGAAGAACACACUUUGGGAAGAGCAGGAUCAGCCCCUUUAUCAUUUUGGUUUCCCUCUUCUGCUGCACCUUCUUCAGUUCGACAGUAUCGCUUUUUUGGUAAUCUGGCGACUGGAACGAUACACUUUACUUCUGAGGAACAGCUACAACUGGAAACAAGGUCAGCUUCAUGUUGUUGUUGUUGUUGUUAUAGCCCAGUAAGCUUCCAGACCACCUUGGGUUUAUUCUCUCUUUUUGACAGUUAAAGCACCACAUUUUCAUUGAUGCCAGGAGAUGUUGAACAGUAGGGCACACAUCCUGGGGUGCCUCUGUUAUGGCAGAAGAGAUAUUCCCAGACUGAUUGGGCAAGGUUCGGACCACAAUGUGUGUCUGGACAUUUAAAUUUGCAUUCUGAUUGGGCAAGACCUCUAGGGUUUUUAAAUUCUGUCUUGAUCGAAUUGGGCAAGAUCUCUAGGAUUUUUAAAUUGUAUAUGGAAUUGGGCAAGAUCAAGGCCUGUGUGGGCCUCGAUUUUUAAAUUGCAUCCCCCAGCUUGACCUUUACAAUUGUAUUCUGAUUGGGCAAGACCUCUAGGGUUUUUAAAUUCUGUAUGGAAUUGGGCAAGAUCAGGGCCUGUGUGGGCCUCGAUUUUUAAAUUGCAUCCCCCAGCUUGACCUUUACAAUUGUAUUCUGAUUGGGCAAGACCUCUAGGGUUUUUAAAUUCUGUAUGGAAUUGGGCAAGAUCAGGGCCUGUGUGGGCCUCGAUUUUUAAAUUGCAUCCCCCAGCUUGACUGAGCACACGAUCUCUAGGUUCCCUUAGAGUGAAUUGGGCAUGAUACCAUUCUCUUUAAAUUCCAUGUUUGGGCAGCUUUAAGCCAGUCGACUGGAGUCCCAUGAGCUUGGAAUCUCCAAUGGCUCAACUGGGCAAGACAAUUGGUGUCUUUAAAUUCUGUCAGGUCCUUGUGGACAUAUUUUUCAGCCAGGGGUGUAGUGUUAAAUUUGAAUCGACUGACCACCCACUUUUAUUCAUGCUCAUGAUAAAGUCAGAAUCAAAUGGAUCACGUUGCGUGUUUUAUAUGCGCUGUGUCCCAAGUCUUGAGUGACCCAUGAAGAGAUGAGUUCUUGUUUAGUGCGCUCAUGGCCAUCUCGGAUCCUUAUUCCUUACUCAAGGAAAGCAUUGAUUUUGAAUGCUGGGCUCAAGGUUUUGAUGCUUUUCUGUCUAUUGAUAAACUGGAAGGAAUCAUUUCACAUGCAAAUGUUUAAAUUGGUUGUGUCAUGCAAGGGUUUUGAGAACUGUCUGGACUAAAGAAAUAGUUUGAUUGCCUUGUCAGCAAGAGAGGUGCCUGCAGCCUAGGCGGCAACCAUGCUAUCUUGCACAGACACAAAAAGCCUUUUGGAAGUUUGUGUCUUUGUUGAAGAUGAUGUUUAGCAUUUUAGCAUUCAAGACUCUUCAGACACGGAUUGCGAGAACGCCUGGCCUGAGAAAUUGACACCCGAGUGAAUGGAGGCGAAUGCACCUGCUUAAGUUGAGGAAGGCAGAUCACCAAAGGCGGCAGGAGUCCAGUGGUGAGGAUGGGGUGAGUAACUGGGCCUGACUGGUUGGAUGAUGCCCCAUCCGUACUGGGCGUUUUCCAAACCAGAUGCUAAUUUUUUUUCCCUUUAAGUUCGGCACUGACAUUUUCAUUGACUUAGUGAAGGGGUGUUGCGACAGCUACCUGGGGAACUCUGGAAAUUGGCCCAGAAUUAUGUAAGGAUGACCAGAAACUGUAUAUUUAUUAAAAUUGACUUGGACAAUUCUUUUUAAAAAUAUAUAUAUUUUAAAGUAACCUGGAAAUUGUACUGUCAGAGUGAAUGCAGAAAAAAAGUGACGUAACAUCAGAGAAUCGCUGGGGAAGUGAUGUGAAACUGAGGUAAUCUUCUGCCUUCUUUUUCAAAUUGUAAGUGAAAUAAAAGCAAAAAGUAAGAAAUAUCUUACAUAAAAGAUGCAUGGGUGAGGAGGCAUUUGGGCAAAUGGAACCAUCCCCCCCGCAGCCCCCCAGCCCCAAUCAGUGACAAAAUGUGGAGCCCCACCACCACAUGGAGCUCUAAAAUGGGUCGGGAAAUCCCGGAUGGUGUUGGGGAACUCUGACUCAAUGUAGGCUUCCCAACGUCGGGAUUGGCUGAUCCCCGACAUCCUCCAACGUGGCCCAUCUCAGGCCAUGUCCAACACAACUGAUGCAGACUUGAACAGCCGUAUAUUAAGCACCUUCUCUCUUUCUGUUCCGAUUCUGCCCCCAAACUGAGCUGAACAGACCCAAGCCCAGAGAUGGAAGGGGUGCUGAAAAGGCUGGAGAACAGCAGAGGCUGGCUUCUACGAAUCCUUCGGUGGACUGCAUCCUCCUCAUGACUCUGAUGACAGUAGCAAUGGACCGAGAGAGAACGUACAUUACGUGUUCAGGACUACAGAAAUCCCCCUCCACUUGGCCUCGUGCAGAGGGGAGGGAGUUUGUCCCAGCCCCGCUCUGCACGAGGCCCAAGAAGCGGGCCGAUUGGCCCUUUGGGUUAGGGGGUGGGGUUUCAGCUGGGAUGAUCCCCGCCCCGUUCUCCUCAGUUUGAGCCAGGCAUUCCCCUCCCUCCCUCCCUGGUACAGAGCGGGUCUAGCGACUGGUCGCCCAACGGGGCCGAGUAGGAAUUUUUGGCUCCCAACGCAUUGGCCACUGUUGGGGUUUUUUUCGCCUACUCCGUUCUUUGUUCCAGGUGUGUAGUUAGAGUUAGGCCGGUCACAAUGGCAGUAACAGUGCGGGCGGGGUGGUAAUUCGAGGGUUUUCCGAGCCAGGGUGUGUCGCCCAGUAAGGUGCUGGGUAGGACGUCAGAGUUCUAACCCGGUUCUCUUGGCCCGCACUGUUCUCUAAGGGUGAUUAAUCACCUGGUGUUCCAGUCCGCCAUGUCUUUUGUUACAGUUAAUAAAGUUGUGGCCCUUUUACCCAUACUAAGUCUACGUGUCUUCUUGGACUGGGGGCUGGGGAAAAGGAUUCCACUUUUGUGUGCUGAUCAGGUGCACACUGCCUUGAUUCUUCCACUCAGAACAAAACUCAUUCCGUGCACAGAUGAAAAAGAUCUGAGGGAACAUUCAGAGGCACUCUUACCCCUGGAUUUCUGGGUGAACUCCAAGGCCUCCACACAUCCUGGGGGCCCCAACAUCCUUUUUAGUCUAUCCUGGCCCAUUGUUUUCCUGGCGACCGAGCAUGACUGUUGCCUGCACCGGAGUUGACUUCUGCUUUAAAGACAAUGGGGGGAGUGGGGAAAGAAAUAUGGAUGAUGGAAAUAUGUUACGCUGCGUGUUGAAAUGUUCCUGCUAACGCAUAUUUCAAUAAAUAUAACUGUUUUUUAUUCAUA